UUAGGAAUCUUCCACAAUGGGCGAAAGCCUGAUGGAGCGACGCCGCGUGAGGGAUGAAGGCCUUAGGGUUGUAAACCUCUAAAAGAGGGACGAUAAUGACGGUACCUCUUGAAUAGCACCGGCUAACUCCGUGCCAGCAGCCGCGGUAAUACGGAGGGUGCAUGCGUUAUCCGGAAUCACUGGGCGUAAAGGGCGCGUAGGCGGUCUGUUAAGUCCGAUGUUAAAUCCCGGGGCUCAACCCCGGAUAAGCGUUGGAUACUGGCAGGCUAGACGGUUGGAGAGGCGAGUGGAAUUACCAGUGUAGCGGUGGAAUGCGUAGAUACUGGUAGGAACACCCAUUGCGAAGGCAGCUCGCUGGACAACACGUGACGCUGAGGCGCGAAAGUGUGGGGAGCAAACC
rnacentral:rRNA from 1 species